AUCGCCACCACCACACACAGACCUGCGUUCUACACCCGUCGCCCACGCUCAUUCACAAAGCCCCCAAUACGUGACCGGACUCAGAAUAAACUGUACCGUGUGCAGCACUGAGGCUUUAGAGGUCCUCUACAGACGGCCAGUCCUCCCCCAUCCCCCAUCUUUUCGGGAGACAGGACGGAGUCACGUCAGGGGGAGUCUACGUACUAAAGGAGCAGUCUGCCAGUAUAAUAUCGGCUACGGGACUACCUUCUUGCAUCGAAAGAAAGAUGGCGCGUAUCCACGGAUUAAUGAAAAUGUUUACUCCCAGAUGGCGCGUAUUCAGAGAUUAACAAAGACUUUCACUCCCAGAAGGAUUAACGAAGGUUUUUACUCCUAAUGGAGGCAGGACCUUCGUCCCCCCCGGUGGCCGCCGUGGGGGCCUAUCACAAUGUGCCUGAAUAAAGACUCCUGCAGAAGGGGGAGGAAGAGGGUGAGGAUGAGGCCAGACCAGGAACACGGCCACAAGUUAUGAGGAUCUGGAGGAGGAAGAGGGAAAGGAGGGAAGAAAAGAAGGAAAGGAAUGGAUGGGAACAAGGCAAACAGUGUCCAGUCUGCAAAUAAUUUACAAUCUGUAUUUCUCAUAAACAAUAUAUAUAUUUUUAUGAACAAAUUAGUGUUUUUUUUGUAUUUUUUAUGGUGGGAACUAUCAAUAAAGCUAAUACUAAUA